rnacentral:rRNA from 1 species
AAACCAGCACCUCAAGUGGUCAGGAUGAUUAUUGGGCCUAAAGCAUCCGUAGCCGGCUCAGUAAGUUUUCGGUUAAAUCUGUACGCUCAACGUACAGGCUGCCGGGAAUACUGCAGAGCUCGGGAGUGGGAGAGGUAGACGGUACUCGGGAGGAAGUGGUAAAAUGCUUUGAUCUUUCGAUGACCACCUGUGGCGAAGGCGGUCUACCAGAACACGUCCGACGGUGAGGGAUGAAAGCUGGGGGAGCAAACCGGAUUAGAAACCCGAGUAGUCC